UCUCUUGUGCAAUUUUUGCAUGGAAAAAUAUUUACUUUAUGAAAUGACCAAUUUUCCUUAUUGUCUUUUUAUUUUGAUUUCAUAUUGUCAUACUCAUAGAUUAUACAUCACUUAUUGCUUAUUAUCAAUCCUUGUAAUUUAAUUUCAUGAAAUUUUUGAAGUACCAACAAAUUAAUGGUUUUUCUCCCAACUAUUAUUACUCAAAACUUCUUUUGGGAAACGCACGGAUCUGCUUAUGUAUCAUUACUUUUGAGAAUUCUAAAGUAUUCGAUUAUGUCAUUUUAUCUAAAUUUAUUUUUGUUGUAUGCGUAGGACUGAUAUAUUGUGUUCUGUGUUUGUUGUGGAGAUAUGGUAGCAGAGUUUGUGUGGUGAGUUUGGCCAUAUCUAUUCACCAAUUUAUUUCACACGAGACUAUACCUUUAAAUUUACCAGUUGGAACGUCCUGCUACUUGGAUAAUAUGCGUUUAGAAAGAACAAAAAACUCUCAGAAGGUAUUUAAAGUGUGAGAAGAAGAUGCUAGAGGAUUUCAUCUAUUCUGUAUUGUGCUAUGUAUGUGUAAUAGGUACAAUAAUAUAUAAAUACAUCAAUAAAAGGAAAUAACAAACUAAAAAACAA